CCCCUCUCAGGGUCGCACGUGGAGGGUUUCUGGUACUCUACCAGUCUCGGCUUUGGGAGGGAGAGUCAAGCAGAGGCCUGUCCAUUCCAUUCCUAGCUCGGCCAGUGGCUAGCGAGGGGAAGGAAAUCUGCUACAAGU